rnacentral:rRNA from 1 species
UACGGAGGGUGCAAGCGUUAUCCGGAUUCACUGGGUUUAAAGGGUGCGUAGGUGGGUUGGUAAGUCAGUGGUGAAAUCUCCGAGCUUAACUUGGAAACUGCCAUUGAUACUAUCAGUCUUGAAUAUUGUGGAGGUCAGCGGAAUAUGUCAUGUAGCGGUGAAAUGCUUAGAUAUGACAUAGAACACCAAUUGCGAAGGCAGCUGGCUACACAUAUAUUGACACUGAGGCACGAAAGCGUGGGGAUCAAACAGGAUUAGAAACCCCCGUAGUCC